AGAGUUUGAUCCUGGCUCAGAUUGAACGCUGGCGGCAGGCCUAACACAUGCAAGUCGAGCGGUAGAGAGAAGCUUGCUUCUCUUGAGAGCGGCGGACGGGUGAGUAACGCGUAGGAAUCUACCCAGUAGUGGGGGACAACAGUUGGAAACGGCUGCUAAUACCGCAUACGCCCUAAGGGGGAAAGGCCGGGAUCUAUUUAUAGACCGGUCGCUAUUGGAGGAGCCUGGUAGGAUUAGCUAGUUGGUGGGGUAAAGGCCUACCAAGGCGACGAUCCUUAGCUGGUCUGAGAGGAUGAUCAGCCACACUGGAACUGAGACACGGUCCAGACUCCUACGGGAGGCAGCAGUGGGGAAUAUUGCGCAAUGGGGGAAACCCUGACGCAGCCAUGCCGCGUGUGUGAAGAAGGCUCUAGGGUUGUAAAGCACUUUAAGUUGGGAGGAAAGGGUAACGAUUAAUACUCGUUAUCUGUGACGUUACCAACAGAAUAAGCACCGGCUAACUCCGUGCCAGCAGCCGCGGUAAUACGGAGGGUGCAAGCGUUAAUCGGAAUUACUGGGCGUAAAGCGCGCGUAGGUGGUUGUGUAAGUGGAAUGUGAAAGCCCUGGGCUCAACCUGGGAACUGCAUACCAAACUGCGCAACUAGAGUACGAUAGAGGGGGGUAGAAUUUCAGGUGUAGCGGUGAAAUGCGUAGAGAUCUGAAGGAAUACCGGUGGCGAAGGCGGCCCCCUGGAUUGAUACUGACACUGAGGUGCGAAAGCGUGGGUAGCAAACAGGAUUAGAUACCCUGGUAGUCCAUGCCGUAAACGAUGUCAACUAGCCGUUGGAAGACUUGAUCUUUUAGUGGCGCAGCUAAACGCAAUAAGUAGACGCCUGGGGAGUACGGCCGCAAGGCUAAAACUCAAAUGAAUUGACGGGGGCCCGCACAAGCGGUGGAGCAUGUGGUUUAAUUCGACGCAACGCGAAGAACCUUACCUACUCUUGACAUCCUCGGAACUCGGCAGAGAUGCCUUGGUGCCUUCGGGAACCGAGUGACAGGUGCUGCAUGGCUGUCGUCAGCUUGUGUUGUGAAAUGUUGGGUUAAGUCCCGUAACGAGCGCAACCCUUGUCCUUAUUUGCCAGCACGUAAUGGGGGGAACUCUAAGGAGACUGCCGGUGACAAACCGGAGGAAGGUGGGGACGACGUCAAGUCAUCAUGGCCCUUACGAGUAGGGCUACACACGUGCUACAAUGGCCAGUACAGAGGGCUGCAAACCUGCGAGGGGGAGCUAAUCUCAGAAAACUGGUCGUAGUCCGGAUCGCAGUCUGCAACUCGACUGCGUGAAGUCGGAAUCGCUAGUAAUCGUGAAUCAGAAUGUCACGGUGAAUACGUUCCCGGGCCUUGUACACACCGCCCGUCACACCAUGGGAGUGGAUUGCACCAGAAGUAGCUAGCUUAACCUUCGGGAGGGCGGUUACCACGGUGUGGUUCAUGACUGGGGUGAAGUCGUAACAAGGUAGCCCUAGGGGAACCUGGGGCUGGAUCACCUCCUU
rnacentral:rRNA from 1 species